CAUGGUAAAGGCAAUAAACAAGAGUAUAUCCCAAUCCCACACCGGAUGAAUAAGCUUGGAUUCAUAAAAAAAUAUCUUCAAAAAAAUAGACAAGAAGCCAGCCCAUAGCCACUACAAUAUUCAAUACAAUAAGGAAUGAAAAGCCCAAAAGAAAAGAUAUGCAAAGAUCUGGCGUUUAUAGUAUACUGGUACACAUACCUCAAACAGGAGAAGAGACAGCAUAUAUAAGUGUCACCAGCAGAACUCUAGGACAAAGAAUACAAGAACACAGAAAAGACAUCGAGAAAGGCAACACCAAUGCAGCAGAAGCCUAUGACAAGGACAUCAGAAUACAGUGGGACAGAGCCAAAGUCAUAAAGCCCCUAAUAAGAAGGUCCCAAGCCACAAUGGCAGAA
rnacentral:lncRNA from 1 species